CAGCCAUAAACGAUGCGCGUUAGGUGUAUCGACGACCACGAGUCGUCGAGGUGCCGAAGGGAAACCGUGAAACGUGCCGCCUGGGAAGUACGGUCGCAAGGCUGAACUUAAGGAUUGGCGGGGGAGCACCACAACGGGUGGAGCCUGCGGUUUAAUUGGACUCAACGCCGGGAAGCUCACCGGAUAAGACAGCGGAAUGAUUGCCGGGCUGAAGACUCUGCAUGACUAGCUGAGAGGUGGGUGCAUGGCGUAGACGUCU
rnacentral:rRNA from 1 species